rfam:Triticum urartu cultivar G1812 contig930388, whole genome shotgun sequence.
UUAGUACUCCCUCCGUCCCAAAAUUCUUGUCUUAAAUUUGUCUAGGUUCAGAUGUAUCUAACACUAAAACGUAACUAGAUACAUCCGUAUUUAGAUAAAUCUAAGACAAGAAUUUUGGGAUGGAGGGAGUAAUAA